CUAUCUCUCGUCCCUGAACCCAGUCUCUCCUCACCACUCCACUGUGCCAGUCACCCCAGUGUUCUGCGUACGGUGAGAAAAAAGUGGGCCUUUUGGGCAGCGCUCCACUUAUCUGUGGAAGCUAAGUGCUUUUUCACUAUUCUCUCACUUUCCCAUAUGGGUGAAAUCAUGGGCUGAAAAGUCUUUUAUUUGUAUCACAUUGUCCUGUUUUAGGGAGGGGUUAAUGCAAAUGAAGUGAAACUGUUUUUCUUACUCUUUUUCAAUAUGUCUAUUCCUGGAUUUUUUGUUCCAGCUCUGUGCUGAACUUUUCUGCUGGAUUCCUGGACUCUUACAAAGGACUACUAACAAUGAAGCACUGCUACCAUCCGGAGCCUACUGAGAGUGAAGUGAAGAAAUAGUUUUCCAAAGAGAGAGAGAGAGAGAAGUCUACCUGACAGAAAUUGUGACCUUCCAUCCAGAAAGUCAGCAUUUAACAAUCCUUGUGAAAGACUGAAUAGGAGAAUAACACUCUGACUUCACUCCCCUCACACUCACCAAACUCGUGGAAGUGUCUUGUAUUGGUUAAACAACUGAAUGCUAGAAGACAAAGGAGCCAAUUGAUUCAGCUUACAAGGGUUGCGAAUAUUUCCAGGCCUCUUCAAACUCUACCAACCUAGUGUUUAGCAUUUGCAAAGGGUGUCACGCAUGUGCUCACAAUAAUAUAAUUUUUCUCAGUGAUCACAUAUUAUCUGACAUUUUUAUCCUCUAUUGAUCCAGACGAAUGGAAAAAAGAUUACUUCUGAGAAUGCCAAAAUCACCACGGAAUGCCAAAACAGCCACUGCUCCCAGUGCCCAGGCCAAAAUUGCUUGUGCCCAUGAAGAAGAUGACAUGAUGCCCAUGUGUUGACAGAGUUGUCCAUAAGUGCUAAAGCGUGACGUAUUUCUCUUCUUUUAUCUUGGCCCAUUUGCUGGACGUUGUUGUCCACUUGGGCUACUGUGUUUACCACAAUCAUGAAUUGCAUAUACACUGUGCGCCACAUGUCUUUAACAGAGAUUUAAGACUCAGAUCUUUCUUUCUUCUUUUUUUUCUCUCCUUAGGACCUAAGUACAUGUCUGCAAAAGGAGGGCCAAAUAAAAGUUCUCUCUUCCAGUGA